rnacentral:tRNA from 1 species
GCCCAGAUAGCUCAGAUGGUAGAGCAGGGGACUGAAAAUCCCCGUGUCGGCGGUUCGAUUCCGUCUCUGGGCACCA